CCCGAAGUGGAUGAGCUGCUCGUUGAAGAACCAGGUGAACUUGAGUUCCAGAGACGGGUCGUGGCUCACUUGGCAGGGCAGGACCACGCUCUCCCCGACGGUGACGUCCAGCGUGGAGGCCAGCGUGGUGAUGACGCAGGACUGGUGUGUUCUGUCGUCAUCUCCUCUCCUUGUGCCGUGUGGUUGUGUGCUGCCUGGUCUCUUACUGCCUCCAGGGGUUUCACAGUGACAAUGAUGGGGGGGGGUAUGCUGCCUUAUUACCCUCCUCUGUCAUGAUUUGUGACAGAUUAUACGGACAACCAAGACAACAUGUCUGCGCGAUGUGCCCAUUAUGCGAGGAGACAUUUUCCACCCUGGUCCCGGGAGAAUCUAGAGGAGGGGGGGCAGGUAUCAAUAAUUCACAGGAGGCGAUUAUUUUGAACACGGCGAGAUGUCCGAAUGCACUCGUGUAAUCCUAAAAAACACAGGUGUGUAUUUUUUUGGGGGGGAGAUCAAGCCUCAGAGGACAGAGGCUGUACAGCGUUGAUCCUCCCUGCUCUCCACCAAGAUGAAAGAGACAAAUAACAUCAGUCACAGAGCAGCUAUCAUGAGGCACUGUGAAGUGGAAAUCGCAGGAGCAGAGCCCGGUCCAAAGUGAAAGCCUUAUUUUUUUGUGUUUUUUUUAUUUGUGAUUUCCUUACGUUCUCUCUGAGACGAUGUUAACAGAUGCACACUUUGCCUUUUUGCAAGCUUCCUUA